rnacentral:lncRNA from 1 species
GAGCCAAGCCCUUUCUUCCUGUUCCUCCUGCUCAGGUUGAGGCUUCACUUUCCAUGGAGAGAGGCCCCUUCCUGCACCCUGGGGAGGGAGGCUGUCCACAGGUAGGGCCAGGCCCGGUCAGUGGUGCAUGGCCUGAGUAGGGUGGGGGGGCACGGGACCCCUGGAAGGUGAGAGACCAAGAGCCUUAGCUGGUCUGGGGGCUGGUGUGGGGGCGAGCAGAGCCAGUCCCGCCCUUCCCAGCAAGUGAGGACGACCAUGACCUGGUUCCUGGAAGGCGGAACAAGGAGUGGCGGGAUUUCUGCAGGUGUGACCGGGGUUUCUAAUCAGGUGACUUGGCGUUCAUCAGAAGGGAGGUUGAUCUGGCCGAGCCUGGCUAGCUCAGGUGCACCCUUUAAGAGGCUGGAAGCCACAGAGCCGCCCCCUCCUGAUGCCAAAGAAGCAUAUGGCCAUCGGCUCCACAGCUGCGAGAAAGAUUAUGCACACAACGACAUGCGCUCAGGAGGGGACCUCGCGCCUCGGUUGAGAUCCCAGCCCUGGCUGACACCUUGAGUGCAGCCUGUGAGACCCUGAGCAGAGGUUCAGCAGUCCCCUCCCCGGACUCCUGCCACACAGAAGCCAUGAGGCAUCCCCAUCACACACUAGGCUUGGUGACUGCACUUGAGGGACUCACAGGACUUAGCCUACCAUCAUACUAGUGGCUGGGAUUUACUACGGUGAAAAGAUGCGACGCAGAAUUAGUAACAGGAAGAUGCAUUUGGGGUGAGGGCCGGAGGAAACCAGGUACAAGCCCCCAGAGUCCCCUCCCCUGGGGUCCCCUCCCGCAGAAUGUGCUGAAUCCUCCAGCCUCGAGCUGUGACAUGUGCAAAGUGUUCUCUACCAGGGAAGCCUGCCUGAGCCCAGGAGUCCAGGGUUUUCACUGGGGGUUGCUCAUGUAGGUACGUUGUGCCUGCGUGACUGAAUAUGGUCACCGAAAUGCCAGGCUCAGAAGAAAAGCAAGUGUUCAGCAAAUAUCACAUGAUUUGUAUAGAAAAGAGUGAGCAGUUGUUAUUUGGGGAUAGUAUUGUAUCCACAUAGGAGCUCUUUACCAGUCAAGUUCCCAGAUGCCAGCUGGGCGUGGUGGCUCAUGCCUGUAAUCCCAGCACUUUAGGAGUCCGA